CGAGGUCAGUUUAACCUCCUCACAGUCCCGUCUCCCGCUGCCUUUACAGUUUGCGAAGGGGAUAGGGGAGGGGGAUUCAGGAUCAGAAACUUGGGUGAAGCCCAUUCUUCAGUGGCAGCCUUCAUAUGUCUGCUCAGGACUAUAUUUUUUCAGAAUCAUGUCAGGGGUUUGAAAGGAGGUGUCCAGAGCGCCCGGGCCGAGGAAACAGAGGAGCUGGGGCAGGUUGAUGCCUUUAGUUAAAUGAUGGUGGCACGCAGAGGGAUUGCUUUGGGAAGUUGUCAUCCAUCAUGAUUUUAGAAUGACUCAAAGCUGCACUCGGCUUUUUGGGGUUAUGGUCUGCGAUCUGUGAUUGAUGUGAAAUGUGUGUGUUUGUUGUGUGUUGGAGAGAGGAGUGAAAAAGAGACUGUGUGUAUUUAUUUGCUGAAAUAAGUUAAGAUUGCCCUGUAGUUAAAGACUUCUUCUGGAGAAGUUUAAUUUCUUCUCUUUUUGUUUGUUUUGUUUUGUUAAAGAAGCUGAUGGAUUAAAGUCACUCAAAAUCAAAUGAUAACGACUCUCACAAUGUGGCAAAUUGUCUAUACCUACUCAUUGUUAAACGCAGUUCAUCGCAUGCCUUUUCCUGUGCAUGCGUCUGUCCGCUGUUGUAUUUCUUUUUUUUUGUUUUAUGUCUGUCCCAUUUGGAUCUUUAGCCAUCAGAAUUGUUGUCUGAGGCCAAGAAAGAUGCCUGGCAGAUUUACUUUACCAAGUGCAUCAUCAUGGCCUUGCCAUAUUGGUCCAUUGGAUUGACAUUUAUUUUAAUUAUGUAUUUAUUUUAAUUUUAUUUUCGGUUGUUACAGACGGGACAGACAUGACUGGGGGAUAGGACAGGGAGAAAGAAAGAAUGAAAGAAAGAGAGGGAGGGAGAGAAAGAAAAAUAGAGCAGAGAAGAGAUGUUGAGAAAGGGGGGGAAAAAAAGAAAAACAAACAAACAAAAAAAGAUGUUUUAUUUGUUUAAGCUGAAGCAUCUUGUCUGUCUUUUCCUUUCUCCUGCUUCUUUUUCCAGGUCCAAGUCUCACCCAAGUUAAUUCUUCAAUUAGUGCGAUCCCAAUAUUCUGGAGAGAUCAUGGAGAGGGGCUCUUCCAAUCAAUGUCCAAUUAACCAGGCUCUCAGAGAAGACGGGGGAUGACCGCUCAAGCAGUUUUAGAAAAGACAGGGUUAGGGUGAAGGCAGA
ensembl:lncRNA